rnacentral:rRNA from 1 species
GCUACACAUGCAGUCGACGGUGAAGAGAGCUUGCUUCUCUGGAUCAGUGGCGAACGGGUGAGUAACACGUGAGUAACCUGCCCUUGACUCUGGGAUAAGCGUUGGAAACGACGUCUAAUACCGGAUACGAACCGUGGAGGCAUCUCCUGCGGUUGGAAAGAAUUUUGGUCAAGGAUGGACUCGCGGCCUAUCAGCUAGUUGGUGAGGUAACGGCCCACCAAGGCGACGACGGGUAGCCGGCCUGAGAGGGUGACCGGCCACACUGGGACUGAGACACGGCCCAGACUCCUACGGGAGGCAGCAGUGGGGAAUAUUGCACAAUGGGCGAAAGCCUGAUGCAGCAACGCCGCGUGAGGGACGACGGCCUUCGGGUUGUAAACCUCUUUUAGCAGGGAAGAAGCGAAAGUGACGGUACCUGCAGAAAAAGCACCGGCUAACUACGUGCCAGCAGCCGCGGUAAUACGUAGGGUGCAAGCGUUGUCCGGAAUUAUUGGCGUAAAGAGCUCGUAGGCGGUUGUCGCGUCUGCUGUGAAAACGCGAGGCUCACCUC